CUACGGGAUGCAGCAGUGAGGAAUAUUGCACAAUGGGGGGAACCCUGAUGCAGCAACGCCGCGUAGAGGAUGACGCAUUUCGGUGUGUAAACUCCUUUUAUAUGUCAAGAAAAUGACGGUAGCAUAUGAAUAAGCACCGGCUAACUCCGUGCCAGCAGCCGCGGUAAUACGGAGGGUGCAAGCGUUACUCGGAAUCACUGGGCGUAAAGGACGCGUAGGCGGGUUGGAAAGUCAGGUGUGAAAUCCUACAGCUUAACUGUAGAACUGCACUUGAAACUUCUAAUCUAGAGAAUGGGAGGGGGAGAUGGAAUUAGUGGUGUAGGGGUAAAAUCCGUAGAUAUCACUAGGAAUACCUAAAGCGAAGGCGAUCUCCUGGAACAUUACUGACGCUAAGGCGUGAAAGCGUGGGGAGCAAACAGGAUUAGAUACCCGAGUAGUC
rnacentral:rRNA from 1 species